rnacentral:lncRNA from 1 species
UAUUUAGUAAAUUUUUUUGUUGUUAAUUUUUUCUAUAUGUUUCUUUAUUCUGUGUUAGUUAACACAGAUUAAAGAUUAAUUAAUCUGUGUUUUUUAAUCUGUGUUAGUUUUAAUUUUUAAUAAGAAAAUUAGAGGUUUGAAAGAAGUUUCUUUUUUUAGUUUUUUUUUUUUAAUUUAAAAUUUUUAUUUACAUAAUAUAAAGUAAUCUUUGAAGUAUGUCUGUUUCAAUAGUAUGGUUGAUCCAUCAGUUUGACAAACCUCAAGUACUUUGUUUUAUUUAUAUAAGGAAAACAGCCAUGUUUUCCUUAAAUAAGUUGAAACAACAACAAAAGGCAAUAUACAUACCAGCAGAUCAUAAACAAAACAAAACAUAAAUAAAUCAAAUAAAAUAAAUAAUACACACACAGAAGGUUGCUAUUAGUCAACAUUCAUUUUUAUAUCUUAUAUAUCUUCUAUGGUGAUAUAUAUUUUAUAACUUGUGGUACAAUUGUUGUUUCUAUUUAUCUUGAUGUAACAACUAUUGAUUUAAUUUAGUUUUGAGGACAUUUUUUUUAAUGUUGUAAAAAGGGAUUGUUUUUGAUUUAUUUUAAAGUUAAUUCCAGUCCAUUAAUGCAAAAUAUAGGAAUGUUUACCGUAGGAUUUUGUAUUAUAUGUUUACACACUCAGUGCACCUCUACAAGAUUUACUUGUGAGUUGACAGCUAAUUGCACCGCAAAAAAAAAAAACAUUUACUAAAUAUUGAGCUUUUUGUUUAUGCAGCUGUGAAUAAGUAAACAAUUUUCAAUUUUGAUUAUGUCAUGUAAUUUUAAAAUUUGUAGUGUUUUAAAGAUGUGAAUGUAUGGGUACUUUUUGGUAGAAAUUCAAUAAUCCUGACUGCUUUUUUCUGCAUGAUAAAUAUGUGGUUCAUUACGUUUUGAUUCCAAAAUAGAAGACAAUAUGUGAUGUGAGGGUGAAAUAAAAAAAUUGACAACAAAUGCAAGCAUUAGGAGAAACUUUUUUUGGAAAGUGCUGUUUUUGAAAAAAGAUAUGUCCUAAUUAGAUUAUUAUAUUAAAACUGUUUAGUAAGAGGAUAAUUUGUUACUGUUUAGAAACAAAAUGGACUUUGUAUAUGAAGUUCAAUAUUUUGUUAAAACUGGAAAGAAAACUUUUAUAUACAUCAGGAAUUUUUGAGGAAUCAGGACUCUUUGAGCAUUAAAAGGAAGUAUUUAAUUCCCCAUUAUAAGACAAAAAAUAAUACAUUACACACUAAAAACAAAAACAAAUUGUUAUAUAGUCAAGAUUCUUAAUUCGAUUGAAAAAUUAGAAUUUUUAAAAAAGCCAAUAUUCUCAAAUAAUGCAGAGGUCCUGAUAAGAAAUACAAUAAAGAAUGAAGUAAGUUUAUAUUUAGAUAUGAAUUCAUUAUAAACAGAGCAGCAAAUUUAUGAAACACAUUGGGAACACAGCAAAAUUACGGAGUGCAUUGGAAGUUGUCAAGUCAACAAAUGUAAACAGUUUUGAGAAAAAAUUAGACAAAUUUUUAUUUAUUUUUUUUUUUUUCCAAAUUUCAAUUUUUUCAAAUUUCUGCUGAAAAUUGAAAAAAAUUAUCAAAAGUUAUAUUUGUUAAAUUGAAGUUAUAUUGCAGUAUAUUAUCAAAAGCUUUUGAUGUGAGUUUCUAACUCACUUGCUGUUAAGGCAGCUACAGUUUGUCUAAUACUGAGGAUUAUUAUAUAUUUUCAAAUCCUAUGCUGAUGUAAUUUUGAAGUUGUGCAAGGGGGCAAGGAAUUUAGACAUUAAAGUACUUACACACAAACUAAUCUCAAUAUACUACAAGAAUUAAUAACAAAAAUAACUUUCAGAAGAUUACCAAUACUUUCUUCCUGCCAUCUUCAAAAUGUUUGAAAAAUUAAUUUACUGUGGAUGAGUGAAAUAAAAACGUUGUUUAAGAAGAAUUUUUACUACAUUUAUAAAGUGUUACUUUAUAAGGCAUAAAAUUGGCAGUAAUUUUUGUUUGACAAUUGCUGUUUUCACAAAUUUUUUAAACUUAAUCACUUUUGAUUCAAUUCAAUUUAUUAAAAAGUAAAAAACAGUUUUAGACUUUAACGGUUGAAAUUAUUUUUUAAACUUCGUUGAAGAAACUGACAUUGCUCUAGCAUAAAUUGAGAUCGACCUGAUGAAAGAUGGUAUUAUUUAUAUAUGUGAUAAUUAAUAAAAGACAAUUAGUUUUUAAAUGAACAAAUGAAUGCUGGCCUUUAUUAUAUGGCUGGUUGUGUAUUAUAUUUUGUGCAUAGUUAAUGUAACAAUAUCAGUCUCUUUGUUCCAAAAUUAAAGUUUAUGUUUCGCAUAGUAAAUUGGGUUUUCUUACUCUUUUGCAUUUCCUUCGUUUUGUUAAAUAUUGUUUUGUAAAAUUUAUUGUCUCUCUAAAAUAAUAUGAAUGUGCAGCCAAUAUUUUUUAAUUCGCAUUUUAUAUUUUUUAUAAAU